rnacentral:rRNA from 2 species
UAACUACUGGAAACGGUGGCUAAUACCGCAUAACGUCGCAAGACCAAAGAGGGGGACCUUCGGGCCUCUUGCCAUCAGAUGUGCCCAGAUGGGAUUAGCUUGUUGGUGAGGUAACGGCUCACCAAGGCGACGAUCCCUAGCUGGUCUGAGAGGAUGACCAGCCACACUGGAACUGAGACACGGUCCAGACUCCUACGGGAG